UUUUUCUUUUCUUUUUUUCAAAAAAAAAAUCUUUUGCAAAUAUUUUUUUUUCCUUUUCUUUUUUUUCUAAACCUUUUUAGAAUCGUUUUUAAAACAUUUUUAAUAUUAUUUUGAACCAACUACUUAAAUGUAAAAUUUAGAAAAGUUAGGCCCAAAAUUCAUUUGGGCUAAAAUUUAUUUCAAAUACCCAAAACAUUUUUUUUAAAAGCCUUUCCAAUAAAUAAUAAGUCUUUUUAGUUAAUAAAACCUUUUUAAAAACUAAAACUUUUAUAAAAAUAUGAAUAAUAACUUACUAAAAAUACGGAAUAUUACCCUCUUCACUUCUUAAACCACCACCACCAUUGCUCAGAGAAAAGUUGUUGCCAAAAAAGCUAAACACGUUAAGGAAGUGAAUCUCAAGGUAGUAGAUCGAAGAAGUAAAGCAUGAUGAGAAUAAGAAGCGAAAUCGCACAUAGAAGCUGAUAAAGAGCAGAAACAAGUGAAGAACAUCGGGAGAAAACCCAGGAAACGCACCAAGCCUGAUUCUGAACCAGAGUACUUCGAAUAUAAGUGCCAUUUGGCUGACAUUGACGCAACAACUUAAAGACUUUGACGUUAUGACACAAGACUUGCCGCAUCAAGAUGACACAGAGAUUGAGUCAAUGAAGUUCAAACAACCAGUCUGAGAAAGAUGGAGCUAAGCUAGAUUGUGUUCUUCCAACGGGAAUAAAGGGACUUAGUAGUUGCACGAAGUAAGGAGUUUGUUACAGUUGAAGGAGCCUUGAACGGAGGAUCUUCGAGAUUCCGACAAACAACCGUUGGAGCAAAUUUAGUAGGAAGCAGUAGUAUUUAAGUAAAGAAAAAGCCAUGCAAAAGAUCCCUGGAUUCACGAGAGGAAAGAUACAUAAGAAAAAGGCCCGAGCGUUUGAUCCCGAGUCUUCGUAACAAACUCGACAAUUGCCUGGCAAAGUGGAGAUUGCACUCCAAGGCGGAGCGUCCGCUCCAGCCUAGAACAUGCGCUCUUUGGUGGAGUGUGUGCCUUAGCUUGUGAUGCGCGGAAUGCACCAUGGUUGUGCGGGAUGCGCCAUGGUCGUGCCGCACACACCAUAAUAGCGAUGAUCUGACCUACUAGCUUCUGCUAUUGAGUAUUCAUCGUUUGAUCCUUGAAAGGUUCGUGUGAGAAAUCAUCGAAGGUAUCGUUCUUUUUCUUAUUUGUAUUUUAAAACAACAUUACAUGACUCACUAAAAGCCGUUGAAUUUCUCGUAUUUGAAAUUUUUCCUUUUACUCGUUAAUCAUAACAUGGGUUCAAAUGUUGUGGUUUGUAGUAAUCUGUCUGUCCUAAAUUAUACUGUUACAUGUACUAUGUUGUUGGAAUUUUCGUAAUAUGAUUCUAAACUUUCUGUUUUU